rnacentral:rRNA from 1 species
UACGUAGGGGGCAAGCGUUGUCCGGAUUUAUUGGGCGUAAAGAGCGUGUAGGCGGCCAGACAGGUCCGUUGUGAAAACUCGAGGCUCAACCUCGAGACGCCGAUGGAAACCGUCUGGCUAGAGUCCGGAAGAGGAGAGUGGAAUUCCUGGUGUAGCGGUGAAAUGCGCAGAUAUCAGGAGGAACACCGGUGGCGAAGGCGGCCCUCUGGACGGUGACUGACGCUGAGACGCGAAAGCGUGGGGAGCAAACAGG